CUGCGGGGGGGCGCGGCGGCGGGUCCGCGAGGGGAGGAUGUUGCUGAGGUCUACCUCGGCCAUCGGGUCUUCAACGAGCUCGUCGUCAUCGCUGCUGCCGCCGCCGCCGCCCUCGUCGUCGUCGCUGCUCUCCUCGCUGUCGUCUUCCUCCUCCUCCUCCUCCUCCUCCUCCUCCUCGACUACCAUCUUGCCCUUACCCUUGUCAGCCGCGCGAGCACUGGCCCUGGCAGCCUCGGCCACAGCGGCGGCCUCCUCGUCGACGUCGGGACGCGCGGCUUUAGGGGGCGCAAGGUUGGCGUCGGCUUCCACAUCCGCCUCGGGCUUGCGCUUGGCCGGGGAAGGGUAGGGUGCCGGUGCCGGUGCCGGAGCCUGGACCUGGGCGGGGUCGGUGGCCACGGGCUGGGGCUCGCCGUCGGCAGUGGCCAUCUCGCGGGGCGGGGAGCUAGGGUUCUAGAGCGGCUGAACGCGGUGUUGUGUCGUCUAGCGAAUGAAGAGCGGGGAAGAUGGCCAGAGGAGAGGAGGAUGUGGAUGUGGGCUUCGCAGGACGGUGGGUCGCGGUUUGGUGACCUGCGUAUAUGGGUUGUGGCCCAUAUUUUCGGGCAGGGCAUGCUGGGGGCCCUACGAUAA
rnacentral:misc_RNA from 1 species